rnacentral:ncRNA from 15 species
UUGUGGCCAGGACAGCCCUCGGGAAGUCCUGGACACUGAUAAGCCGGUAAUGCAGCCCUACGGAACAACAUUGACGUCC